rnacentral:rRNA from 1 species
UACGUAGGCAGCAAGCGUUGUUCGGAAUUACUGGGCGUAAAGAGUGUGUAGGCGGUUCUCUAAGUUCCGUGUGAAAUCUCCCGGCUUAACUGGGAGGGUGCGCGGAAGACUGGAGGGCUGGAGUAUGGGAGAGGAAAGCGGAAUUCCUGAUGUAGCGGUGAAAUGCGUAGAUAUCAGGAGGGAACACCUGCGGUGUAGACAGCUUUCUGGACCAUCACUGACGCUGAGACACGAAAGCGUGGGUAGCAAACAGG